rnacentral:lncRNA from 1 species
UCAUCACUUGCCAUUGUCUACCACCACACCUUGGCUCAUGUUCCACAGCACUCACCUCUCUUAAGGAAUUCACGUAAGUGCUGAGAAGUAAUGGAACCUGGACUCUCCACUUUUGAGGCAGGGCUGACAGCUGAGCGUGGACGUGGAUGGUGGGGAAAACACAGCUAUGACAGCCUUCCCCACAGUUUAAGGUAUCAACAAAUUUAAUUCUCACUCCACAGGAAGACUCCAGAAGACUAAAAAAAUCUCACUUUGACAGCUUUCAGAUGCCUCCAGUCCCUGCUUCACCCUAUUCAGAUGCACAGAGAUCUUGUGUUGCCCCUGAAGAUACUCUCACUCAGCCUUCCCUCUGUCUGCAGAGAUGGCUUUGACAGCCCCACACCUACAAUCUCCAGCUUCUCUUCUGAGCUGUGCUCAGGGUUCUGCUGCUCUUGGGACCCAGCCUGGUAGCAUGACCCCCACUUCCCCAGCUCCCGCAGUCCUCCCAGCCUGUGAGUCACCAUCGAUUCUUCCAGAGAGGAGUCACUCUCAUCAAAUUUGAAACCUCGUGACACUCUAUACCCAGCAUCUGGCUCACCAAUCAUUUCCGGCUAGUGGGAAAGGUCCUGAUGGUUCAAGGUUGA